UAUCAAACAUGAGCCCAAACUGUUGUAGUUAGUGUGGCACUUUUUGUAUUUGCAACCCUGUUGAGUGGGAUUGAGUGAGGACGACAAUCGUCUGCCGUUAGUUUGUCUGGCACCUUCUGUAUUUGUGUCGUAAUCUGUGCUUGAGUGACUGUUAUGUCUGCCACCUUCUGUAUUUGUGUCGCAGUCUGUGUGUUUGAGUGACUGUUUUGUCUGGCACCUUCUGUAUUUGUGUCGUAGUCUGUGCUUGAGUUACUGUUCUGUCUGCCACCUUCUGUAUUUGUGUCGCAGUUCUGUGUGCUUGAGUGAGGAAGGACAGUCGCCUGCAGUGAGUCUGUCUGGCUGAUCUCCCUUGUGGCUAAAGUGUUUGUGGACAUCAAGCAGACGCUUUCCACGUUAUUAAAAACAAGGAAAGUGUUGGAUUGGAACCCAAAAGGUAAAGAUCAAGGAGAAGACCACGUAAAGAGUAACAGAAAUUGAAGUACAGAAACGUUGGAUGACAUGGAAUAACAACAAGAGGCUAGCCCAGGAUAGGGAAAGAUGGUAAGUGUAUGUUCGUGGCCUAUACCUUAUAGGCCUACCUAUAUCAAAGCUGAGAAAGGCAAUGAUGAUGACGUUACUAAAUAGUUAGGAUUGUUGUGCUGCCCUCCUGUUCUCUAAUCCCCCCAUUCCUCUUUACCCACUUGGGUUGUUGGCGGGUGCUCUGGUGUAGAUUUCUUCUUCUUUCCUUUGAAAUAUCUAUCGUCCUUUUCUCCCCUUCUGCU